CGCAGACAAAGACGGAGAGCCGUCACACCUUUAAAAAAACGUCUAUGAGUUCAGAGUGAAAGAAAUGCUGAAAACCCGACGCAAUGUGCUGUAGGAAACCGGUGCUGAAGCAAGACUACCUGUCGGCUCUGUAGUGAGAGAAACAGCCAGCUGCGUUUUCAUUCUAGCGGGGAAAUUCUGCAGCUUUAUAUGGCAAAGUUUCUUACCGAGCUGCUGGGAUGUACUCUGCCCGAGAAAGGCGCAUCUCCUAUGAUCGAGUGCAGGAGUCAGCCACAUAUCGGACUGAGGCAUGUUACCAAACAACGGACAAAGCAACAGUGAAGCGGGAAGAUCAGGCACAAGCGCUCCAUCAAAUCCCCCGUUUCCAUUAACACAGGCCCCCACACACUGUGGCAUCAGCCAGGCACUAGAGGGAACGCUUUGAUCCUCAUGCACAUAGGCAGACACAGCCCUUCUGAAGAGUGCGUCCAGGAAUGCUUCUAUAUGACUUUCAUCUUUUCGAAUUCAUAAUCUCCUUCUCUGCGUGUGCUCAGCUUGCUCUUAAGGCAUUUGUGCCAGGGCUCAACCAGAGUCGGGGUUGACUG